rnacentral:tRNA from 1 species
AGAGUACUAGCUUAAUUUAAAGUAUCGAAUUUUUGAUUCGGGGAUGUUUUUCGUGCUUUA